GCCAGAGUGGUGAAACUGGUAUACACGCAGUCUUCAGACGGCUGUCUGCGCAAGCGGGUGAGGGUUCGAGUCCCUCCUCUGGCACCA
rnacentral:tRNA from 1 species